rnacentral:rRNA from 1 species
CAAGUGGUGGAGCAUGUGGUUCAAUUCGACGCAACGCGCAGAACCUUACCUGGUCUUGACAUCCUCGGAACCUGCCAGAGAUGGCGGGGUGCCCGCAAGGGAGCUGAGAGACAGGUGCUGCAUGGCUGUCGUCAGCUCGUGUCGUGAGAUGUUGGGUUAAGUCCCGCAACGAGCGCAACCCUCUCCUUUAGUUGCCACGCAAGUGGAUCUCUAGAGGGACUGCCGGUGUUAAACCGGAGGAAGGUGGGGAUGACGUCAAGUCCUCAUGGCCUUUAUGACCAGGGCUACACACGUGCUACAAUGGCCGGUACAAAGCGCUGCCAACCCGCGAGGGGGAGCCAAUCGCAUAAAACCGGUCUCAGUUCAGAUUGGAGUCUGCAACUCGACUUCAUGAAGGCGGAAUCGCUAGUAAUCGUAGAUCAGCACGCUACGGUGAAUACGUUCCCGGGCCUUGUACACACC